CGACUUCAUCUUCUUCCUUUUCCUCGAAGAAACCCAACCGUUUCACCUCUUCUCCUCUGUAAGGUUAAAAUUGUGACUCAUAAAGCUUCGUCGAUUUCAUCCGUCUCCUCCACCGAUCUCGCUCAAGAUGUUAAAAUCACAGAGAGUGAAGCAUUUGAGAUUUUGAAGAUGGCAAAUCAAAUCAGCGGAUCAAGCUCUUGCAAUGGAAGAUGCUCUUCUCUCGUAAAUGGAGCAAGGAAUGCUUGGGAUAUGCUUAACGAGGAGGAAGCUUUGCCGCGGAUUACUACAUCUUGUUCUGAUCUCGAUAAGAUCUUGGUAGGUGGAAUAAGCUGUAAGGAUGUUACAGAGAUUGGUGGAGUACCUGGUAUUGGCAAGACUCAGAUUGGGUAAGAUACGCUCCACUUCACGUUAGUGCAAUCACUAUAUAAUCUACCUCUUCACAUCCAAUUUUGCCGAGGAGAAGAAGAACUACGACGUAGAAUCUAUAUUUCCCCGGUCAUGCCAAUGUCAUCAACUCUGGAUCAAGAAGAAUAAGUGACCAUCACUUCUAGGGAACCAUCUCAGAGUGUAUUGGCAACUGGUCUCAGCUUAAAAAUCUUGAACAAUUGCAGUUGAUUAGCAAAUGGAAACUAAAGCAGGAUUCAUGUUUAAAGCGAUUUUUUUGUUUGAUAAGACUGGUAGAAGCAUCAUCCCAAAUCUUAUCCAGAAACGGCAUCAAUACCCUGUAUUUUUUGAUGUUUCAGUGACCAUUUCUAAAAGCCAUGUGUCAGUGACUUUCACCGAUUGUAACGACUUGGUGUAACUGUGUGCAGGCACAAUAGAACACAAACUGUGUGUGAUCUGGCGUGUAGAAAAGGACUUGACAUCCUCGAUCUUCCACCUGAUAUCCAACCACACUCGAGAAGGAGUACUUCAAGAACCAUCAUUGUCUCUAAAAUCGUACAUGGGAAAACUCUCCAUAAGUUUGGGGCAUGUAACUGGUACACUGAUACGUACUCCUGCAGGAUAUGUACAUUCUUAGAUGUUCAUUUUCUUCAUCUUAUUUAGAUUAAAGGGGCAGUAACCUUGAAGAAGAUGAUAGGGAUGGGUUUUCCUUUGUUAGACGUGAUAUACCCGUAACCCGCCACUAGCACUGAAAAGCCUUCUGGCUAAGGUUGUGAAGUUGUUCAGCCGUCUACUAAGCUUCUGCCAGUUGCUUAGAUGGGAGUUGUUGGUCGGAGGUGAUUGUAUCUUUCACAUAAUUGGAAUCGCACAUGACAAAUCAAGUUGGCUUCUCGAUGACUUCCUGCAGUCAUUUAUGAAAGCUCAUGGACCUCUGAAGAUAUCAGCAAUUGGGAAUUGGUCAGUUCUCUUACAGUGUCAGAUGACUUUCUGUGCUGCUAUUGUGCCAAAUACCAAGCGUAUCAGUGUUAAACUUAGUAAAGCUAAUACAAUCCAACUUUUCUUCUUUGUAUGUGUUCUUUACAUUAAAAGAACAAGAUUCUCCGGUGAGAUCGAGUUGAGAUACCUCAUCGGCAAAACCUUGAUGGAACCAUUGUUAUAUGCUUCUUCUGAGUAAUCUCUGGCUACAAGGUUCUGAAAUCGUAACUCGAAGCUCCAUGGUAUAGACCCAAAACAAUGUGUACGUCAAAAGCUAAUGUGCCACAUAAUUUUUUUUGUUAUGUUUGGUGUAAAACCACACUUUUUUCUUACGUCUAUUAUCUCCAAAUUGUCUGGUUGAUACAUAGCUUACAUAGUUUCUCAAAAUUUGGCAUUCUUUUUACUACUUAGAUGAAUGAUAUGUAACUCGCAAAAAACAU